UAUCAGUGUCGUAUUAUUUAAAUCUAAAUAUAUAGUUAAUGAAGAUAAUAUUUAUAACGCAAGAGCAGAUACUAAAAUGAUUCUCAGCAGACCGUCGAGGUCAAAGUGAACAUACUUCAGUGUUACACCAGUGACGUCAGUGUGUCACGGCUCGCCGACCACGAAUCGUUAUUCGUUAUUAGCAUUACACAUCGCUCAACGUACAGGUCUCAGCCUCAUCUUUUUUUUUUUUUUAAAUAAUAAUAAUAAAAGACAAUAAAAAUUUUUUGAUAAUAAAUUACCAAAAAUAGAAUUAUUUUUAUAAAAUGAUAUUUAAUUUUUGUAUAAAAGUGAAGAACAAUGGCCAGUAGCAGUAAUAACAAAUAGCAAAGUGAUGAGGAUGUUAAAUGUUAAAUGUUGGGUUGAUAUUAGUGACUAGGAGUCGUUCCGAGAGACCUUGCGUAGGUGUCAGCCAGGCGUGGUGAAGAUAUGCCACAGGCGGGACAUGCCUCAGGACAAACAAAGAGAUCAUUUUACUGGAGAUAAUUGUUAAGAGAAAAGAGAGAAAAUAAUUGCGGAAGGAGAAUCUCAAGUGGAUUGGAUAGAACUAACUCCUCCCGCGGAAUCUCCUUCCAAUCUAAUACAAGCUGACGCUACCUUCACCUUCCCCACCGUUAUUGCUAAGUAACUUUGACCCGCCGUGGGCUCGAACACGAUUCUACGUGAUGCUACAACACUUCUGGGAGUUUUUAAAAUUACAAAUCUUGGAAUUAUCUCGCGGCCAGAUCAGCCCCAAAGCUGUGAAAGUUAUUUGCAUAAGCGGAAGAGGAGCGAAUUUAAACAAAAAAUAUAAUCCGAGCAAUUAUGAUUAUAAAAAUUGUUAUUUAAGAGACUUUUUAAACGAAAUGAAAACAUUGAGGAAGCAAUUGCUGUUCUGAUAAGAUUAUAGUUCUCCAGACGGUCUUUACGAGGGGAGAUUCGAUUUUGCGAGGCAUAUUGGGUGAAAAAACUUUUAGAAUGUUGUCCGAGAAUGAAAUUAUGUAGGGUUGAUGGACUUUUAUUCGACUUCCGAUCGCGAAUCACGGAAGUCCCUUCCUUUAGUAAAUUCAAUAGAGAUCAGGAGACGGAAAAAUAAUCAAUUGUAUCAAUUUUUUGUCUAUAUUUUUGUAAAAAAUAUUUUU